rnacentral:rRNA from 1 species
UACGAGGGGGGCGAGCGUUGUUCGGAAUUAUUGGGCGUAAAGGGUGCGUAGGCGGUUUGGUAAGUCUUAUGUGAAAUCUAUGGGCUCAACUCAUAGUCUGCAUGAGAAACUGCCGGGCUUGAGUAUGGGAGAGGUGAGUGGAAUUCCUGGUGUAGCGGUGAAAUGCGUAGAUAUCAGGAGGAACACCUGUGGCGAAAGCGGCUCACUGGACCAUAACUGACGCUGAGGCGCGAAAGCCAGGGGAGCAAACGGG